CCCCAAAUCAGAUCUGAGAUCUCCUCCCAACAUUUCCCCACCUUAUAUCCACACCCAAAAUCCUCUUCUUUUCCCCCUCUUUUUUCUUCCACAAAUUUCUGCCAAAAAUCCGCUCCUUCUUCCGUCGCCGGUGUGCCUUUUCCUUUCGUCGCCGGCCGCACCCUUUCUUCCGCGUGCGAGAGAUGCUCCUGCAUGCCUCGAUCCUGCGCCGGACUGCCUUGGUUUCCCCGCCACCGUACAGCACGCGCGCGAGCUCGCCCGCACUCCCGCGUAAACCAUCUGCCGCCCGCAGCCAAACCGCCCCAGCUCGGCUCCCGCCCGCGCACGCCCUGGCCCCGCCUCGCCCGCGCAUGCGUCGCGGCAAGGCACCAAGCCGCAGCUCUGGCUCGCCCGCCUCGCCUCGGGCCACGCGCUGGCCGCCACUCGCCCGCAGUAUUGUUCCGUUCCAUGUGCAUCCAAGCCGCAGCUUCGUGGACAGUCGAGGCAUGUAUCAGCCAGCCACACGUCUCCUCAAUUUUGCCUUGAUCGUUGAGCCAUCCAACAGCUUUCUUGAUGCUAGCUUAGGCAGCAUUCAUGUGCGCGCGCCUCGCUGCCUUGUCCCGUCUGUUCCACGCGUGCACAACAACAAACAGUAGCAGCACCGCCACAACAGCAGGCCAAGCAGUUCCGGCCGACCAGCGCAUGUCCAAAUCUCCAAAAUACACCAUCUCUUCGUUCGUGCGCCGUCAGCACUCUUUUCUAUCCAGUUUUUGCCCGGUUUUGAGGGCCGCCAUCUAUUCGACAAAGUACCCGUCCGAAUUUUGGCUUCCAUUUGUCCCAUCGACCGUGUCCGCUUGUUUUUAUCCGACGCGGCCGCUACUACUUCGCCGACGCUACCUCUCCUACAAGUUCCUCUCCAAUUUCGGCGCUGAUUCAAGUUCGACUUCAACAACCACGCCGGGUCCGCCGAUGCCUCACCGCCAAGGUCUACUUCCCGGCAUCUGACACAUUGACUACUUUCUCGAUGUCGGCGACUUCCGCCACUUCCACUCCGCCCCGAUGACCAUCCUUGUUCCAAUACCCAUUUGCUUCUUCCCGGAUAAGAUCACGAAGUGGUGAUGUGAGAUACGACAAGCCCUCCGGUUGUUCCUCGGCAAGAUUUAACAGGCAAGCAUUUCCCCUAUACUCCUGUCCCUGCAGGAGUCGCUGAUGACCCACAAGUAUAGGGGGUGUAUCGUAGUAUCUUCGAUAAGUAAGAAUGUCGAUCCCAAUGAGGAGCAGAAGGUGUUGACAAGCAGUUUCGAUGAAGGAUUCACUGUAAAUGCUCACAGACAAGUAUUCAGGGGAGUUUGAUGUAACAGUUGAAUAAAGUACGAAUAAGUAAAGUGCGAGAGUAACAAUUGCA